GGGGUCAUAGCUCAGUUGGGAGAGCGCCGCGUUUGCAACGCGGAGGUCGUCGGUUCGAACCCGUCUGGCUCCA
rnacentral:tRNA from 1 species